rnacentral:rRNA from 1 species
CCACAGUAAUACGAAGGGGGCUAGCGUUGCUCGGAAUUACUGGGCGUAAAGGGCGCGUAGGCGGACAGUUUAGUCAGAGGUGAAAGCCCAGGGCUCAACCUUGGAACUGCCUUUGAUACUGGCUGUCUUGAGUUCGGGAGAGGUGAGUGGAAUGCCGAGUGUAGAGGUGAAAUUCGUAGAUAUUCGGCGGAACACCAGUGGCGAAGGCGACUCACUGGCCCGAUACUGACGCUGAGGCGCGAAAGCGUGG